AGACAUGCACCGACCAAGAGCCGCGCCAAGCAAGGGGAAGGGCUCCGGCAAUACUAUAUCCAACACAUACUUCUGCCUCUUUAGUGCUUCAUAGCUAUUUAUGGAUACAUUUGUGAUUUUGGUUCCUAUCAUCCGUGUUAUGGGGUUCGCCAUUUAUUGGCGGAAUUUUCGGGAAAGCUGAGGUGAAGAACGGUGAGGAGGAAAGGAUGUGGUUCAGCUUCAAAUCGACUGAUUUGCUGGCUUGGAUGAAAGAAGCACUCGACAACCAACUAAGGUAUGCAGCUUUGGAGCCUUAAUACUUGUGGAAUUGUUUGUGCAUGUAUCUCUUAAUUUUCUUGAUCCUGUUGUGUAAGAUAUUAAGAUAGGUGUGUCUUAGUAUUGAUAUUGUUCUUGGCUGGGCUCAGUCGGUGCAUGAUUUCGGUGUGCUAAGAGCAGUUUUCGAAUCUCCCUUAACCAAAAUAAAAUAAUAAAAAGGAAGAUAAAGCAAUUUUAUGGUAACUUUUAGUAGACUAAAUGCAAGUCCAAGUCUAAUAGCUGAGCUAUAGUCACAUUGGAGUUCUAGGUUUAUGCUUGUUCUGCUUUUAUUAAAGAAGCAUCCUUGUUUAUGGCUUGGUGGACCAUAUUUGUGUGGGUGGUUAUUACAUCAGCUAGUCUGGUUUUUUAUCUUUGUUUUGCAUUAGCCUUUAGAAUUUGGCCCUAGGCUUGGAAUUUUUGCUUAAUUUUGGAUAGAGAUUGUUUUGCUUGAACCAGAGUAUUACAGAUGUUUUAAUACAUGGGGCAAGAAAACUGUUUUUGGAUGUUGUUUCAUUUUGGUUUAUUUCAUUACCACUUCUAUAUUCUUCCCUGUUUAAGGAUGUAGUAGGAACACUUUAGAAGUGUUCGAGUAUAGAAUGAUGUGAACUAUAGUUGAAGCUUUUUCGGUUUCAUAUCUAUCGCUAGUAAGAGAGGCAUGAAUGGCUGCAGGGUGCAUAUCUGGAUAUCUGAGCAACUGAGCUACUACCAGGUGAUAUAUUUGUUAUCAUCUCCAUAUAAAUAACUGUCGUUAUGAACCAAACAAUAUAAUUUCCCAGCACACUUUUCAUCAAUGUUUUCCCCCUAUACUAUCAUGUGGAGUAUAAGGACUGUGUAUUUGCUUUAUGAUAUCUUGGCCUGCAUUUUGCUCUCUUAAGGUACAUAAUGUUUUCCCAUGUCAUGCUACAAAACUGUCAUCCUGUCAUUAAGCUGCCGUGUGAAAACAUGCUAUAAUUGACAUAAGUUUUUUUUUUUACUGUCAUUUAAGUAUUAUGAUUUUGGACGAACAGUUUCAGAUUAUAUA
rnacentral:lncRNA from 1 species